UACGUAGGUGGCAAGCGUUGUCCGGAAUUAUUGGGCGUAAAGCGCGCGCAGGCGGUCUUUUAAGUCUGAUGUGAAAGCCCACGGCUUAACCGUGGAGGGUCAUUGGAAACUGGAGGACUUGAGUGCAGAAGAGGGGAGUGGAAUUCCACGUGUAGCGGUGAAAUGCGUAGAGAUGUGGAGGAACACCAGUGGCGAAGGCGGGUCUCUGGACAGUUCCUGACGCUGAGGCACGAAGGUCAGGGGAGCAAACAGG
rnacentral:rRNA from 1 species